rnacentral:pre_miRNA from 1 species
GUGGCUGGCGGCUGGGUGCCUUCUACUGGUGCUGUGCAGAGGCUUUCCCUAAGGCUGCUGUGAGCCUGUAGGGUUUCCCCAUAGGCUAUGAAGCUGG